UUAAGCGACUAAGCGUACACGGUGGAUGCCCUGGCAGUCAGAGGCGAUGAAGGACGUGCUAAUCUGCGAUAAGCGUCGGUAAGGUGAUAUGAACCGUUAUAACCGGCGAUUUCCGAAUGGGGAAACCCAGUGUGUUUCGACACACUAUCAUUAACUGAAUCCAUAGGUUAAUGAGGCGAACCGGGGGAACUGAAACAUCUAAGUACCCCGAGGAAAAGAAAUCAACCGAGAUUCCCCCAGUAGCGGCGAGCGAACGGGGAGCAGCCCAGAGCCUGAAUCAGUGUGUGUGUUAGUGGAAGCGUCUGGAAAGGCGCGCGAUACAGGGUGACAGCCCCGUACACAAAAAUGCACAUGCUGUGAGCUCGAUGAGUAGGGCGGGACACGUGGUAUCCUGUCUGAAUAUGGGGGGACCAUCCUCCAAGGCUAAAUACUCCUGACUGACCGAUAGUGAACCAGUACCGUGAGGGAAAGGCGAAAAGAACCCCGGCGAGGGGAGUGAAAAAGAACCUGAAACCGUGUACGUACAAGCAGUGGGAGCACAGAGCAAUCUGUGUGACUGCGUACCUUUUGUAUAAUGGGUCAGCGACUUAUAUUCUGUAGCAAGGUUAACCGAAUAGGGGAGCCGAAGGGAAACCGAGUCUUAACUGGGCGUUAAGUUGCAGGGUAUAGACCCGAAACCCGGUGAUCUAGCCAUGGGCAGGUUGAAGGUUGGGUAACACUAACUGGAGGACCGAACCGACUAAUGUUGAAAAAUUAGCGGAUGACUUGUGGCUGGGGGUGAAAGGCCAAUCAAACCGGGAGAUAGCUGGUUCUCCCCGAAAGCUAUUUAGGUAGCGCCUCGUGAAUUCAUCUCCGGGGGUAGAGCACUGUUUCGGCAAGGGGGUCAUCCCGACUUACCAACCCGAUGCAAACUGCGAAUACCGGAGAAUGUUAUCACGGGAGACACACGGCGGGUGCUAACGUCCGUCGUGAAGAGGGAAACAACCCAGACCGCCAGCUAAGGUCCCAAAGUCAUGGUUAAGUGGGAAACGAUGUGGGAAGGCCCAGACAGCCAGGAUGUUGGCUUAGAAGCAGCCAUCAUUUAAAGAAAGCGUAAUAGCUCACUGGUCGAGUCGGCCUGCGCGGAAGAUGUAACGGGGCUAAACCAUGCACCGAAGCUGCGGCAGCGACGCUUAUGCGUUGUUGGGUAGGGGAGCGUUCUGUAAGCCUGCGAAGGUGUGCUGUGAGGCAUGCUGGAGGUAUCAGAAGUGCGAAUGCUGACAUAAGUAACGAUAAAGCGGGUGAAAAGCCCGCUCGCCGGAAGACCAAGGGUUCCUGUCCAACGUUAAUCGGGGCAGGGUGAGUCGACCCCUAAGGCGAGGCCGAAAGGCGUAGUCGAUGGGAAACAGGUUAAUAUUCCUGUACUUGGUGUUACUGCGAAGGGGGGACGGAGAAGGCUAUGUUGGCCGGGCGACGGUUGUCCCGGUUUAAGCGUGUAGGCUGGUUUUCCAGGCAAAUCCGGAAAAUCAAGGCUGAGGCGUGAUGACGAGGCACUACGGUGCUGAAGCAACAAAUGCCCUGCUUCCAGGAAAAGCCUCUAAGCAUCAGGUAACAUCAAAUCGUACCCCAAACCGACACAGGUGGUCAGGUAGAGAAUACCAAGGCGCUUGAGAGAACUCGGGUGAAGGAACUAGGCAAAAUGGUGCCGUAACUUCGGGAGAAGGCACGCUGAUAUGUAGGUGAAGUCCCUCGCGGAUGGAGCUGAAAUCAGUCGAAGAUACCAGCUGGCUGCAACUGUUUAUUAAAAACACAGCACUGUGCAAACACGAAAGUGGACGUAUACGGUGUGACGCCUGCCCGGUGCCGGAAGGUUAAUUGAUGGGGUCAGCGCAAGCGAAGCUCUUGAUCGAAGCCCCGGUAAACGGCGGCCGUAACUAUAACGGUCCUAAGGUAGCGAAAUUCCUUGUCGGGUAAGUUCCGACCUGCACGAAUGGCGUAAUGAUGGCCAGGCUGUCUCCACCCGAGACUCAGUGAAAUUGAACUCGCUGUGAAGAUGCAGUGUACCCGCGGCAAGACGGAAAGACCCC
rnacentral:rRNA from 1 species